rnacentral:rRNA from 1 species
CUAUUUUCUAAUGGUUGACCUCGGAUUAGGUAGGAAUACCCGCUGA